UGCGUAGGCGGUUUACUAAGUCAGAUGUGAAAGCCCCGGGCUUAACCUGGGAACUGCAUUUGAUACUGGUAGGCUAGAGUAUGAUAGAGGGGGGUAGAAUUCCUGGUGUAGCGGUGAAAUGCGUAGAUAUCAGGAGGAAUACCAGUGGCGAAGGCGGCCCCCUGGAUCAAUACUGACGCUGAGGUACGAAAGCGUGGGUAGCGAACAGGAUUAGAUACCUGGUAGUCC
rnacentral:rRNA from 1 species